AAAUCAUAGUAUUGCUAACACUCUCUUCAGUACACCCCCGGUGACCUUGUUGCAUGACAUGAGCAAUCCUAGCACACGUGAGGUUUCUCAUGGUAGUGCAAUCUUCCCGCACAAAUGGGAGAAACAUCUUGUAGUCUCACCUGCAAUAGUCCUGAAGCAGCCACCUAUGAUGGAUCAUGACCCAACAGUUGUAAACGGAUCAGUGUAUGGUGAAUUUCUCUUGGACCAACUUAUUUGAUGAUAUGCCUUACAUUGAUAUCUACCUUCAGCUAUCCCAGGUGUGCAGUUUUGUUUGCCGUACAAGGCAUGCAUGAUGUCUUGGUCAAUCUUUCACUUCCAUUUCCUCGUCAAUGGGGCUUUGAGCAGUGCUUCCUUGACUUGUCUUUUUUGCUUUCAUUGACCAAACACACUUCUUCUCAUCUUCCGAAGAGCAUGCUGUUUGGGCAAGCAAUAAGCUACGUAUGAAGAAGUUGUGAUAUGCAUGAAUGGAAUGGCGUUGGUAGAAUUUACAGAGAAAUGCUAUAGCAACUUGGUCUGUUGUUGCAGUGUCAACAGUGAGUUAGGGUUGACCAUGGUGCAUAUAUCUUAUCAUCUUGGUGUGUUCAUUGACUCAUGAGGGAAGCAAUGUUAUCAAAAAAGAACUGCUUGAGAAGUUGACUCCAGUGGUGCCAGUAUCCAAAUUAGACAGCAAAUUGAUUUCAAACUAGAAUCACUAUUCACAUACCUAGUAAUUAUUAUACCGAAUUUCUUGCAUUUGUGAGUUAUUUGCAAAUCUUAUACAAUAUCUUAUAAAGACAUGAAAUGAAGUUCAAUCAGAUAUGAAUGAAUUUCCUUUGAAACCAUUGCUUGCUUCACUACAAUUCGAACAUCUUAUUGUUAACAUGAUAGUUUCUCAUGAUACACAGUGUUGAUGUCAUGUACCUACCUUUUUCUUGUCCUCAAACCAUGUAGCAAGUUCCAUUGUCCCAUAUGAAUAUUGUUUCACCUAAGUUUGGGCUAUUUGUUGUACUAAUUUUUAAGUCUUAAUGACUUAAUCUUUAUAAAAAAUCACAAUGAGUGAGACUAGAUAAUAGGCUGUCCACUGAGGAAAUGGAGUAAAUUAGAUCUAUUUGAAUUUUCCUAGCACUGGAGUAUUUCUACUAGACACAGAAUGUUGCAUACUCAUCAACUCAUGUAACUUUUUGGGGCCAAAAGGGUGCUCUUAUGCUAAGUACUGGAUCUGCAACAUUUACUUUGCACAGUUAUAAUUCAUCAUUUUGUUCUUUGCUUCCUUUGAGAAAUCAACCAUCUAUUCUUUCUAUCUUUCUUGUCCAAAGAGUCUUGAACCUUAACCAUGAGAUGAUAUUCGUAGCCUGUGACCUUCCUUGACAUAACCCACAUUGAAUUUGAUUACUUUUAGCCUAUGGAAACCUGAAAGUCUACAGCUUGUUCCUCAUUAGCCAAGCAAAAAAAUUGAUGACCUUUUUUGUCAAUUCAUUUGAUGCGGAGAAUAGUAUAUAGUCAUUUGUGUAUAAAAGGAAUGGGCAUACCUCACCAAUGACGCAACAGCUAUACAUUUAAUAACAAAAGCUGGCAUAAAUCAAAUUUAAUCUGCUAUUCUGGUUGUUUUCCGAUAGCUGCAUGAUGUUCAAAGUCAAUUUCUGCAGCAGCACAGAUUCUUCCUGAUUUUAACCUGAAAUAACUUAAUAGCUAUACAGACGAUCUUGGUAUCUUAGUCAAUCAGCAUGAAUUUUGUCACCUUUGACAGUGUUGCAUAAUUGUCGCAAGCAGCAAGCUGGAUCAGGCUGAAAACUUGAAAUGGAGCACAAAGGCUUGUUUUCUUUUGGUUUCAAACAUGGAACAUGCGAUCUUGGUAUCUUAGUCAAUCAGCAUGAAUUUGGUCACCUUUGACAGGGUGGCAUAAUUGUCGCAAGCUAGAUCAGGUUGGAAACUUGAAAUAAAGCGCAAAGGCUUGUUUUCUUUUGGUUUCAAACACGGAGUUGCUACAGUUUCCUUUUCCUAGCAGCGCCUUCAGGGCAUUAGUAGAUCCCUUUGCUCAAGGGCAACUGAGAAAGGGAUUUCUUCCCUACAAAGAGAUACGUCUCUCACAAAUGCAAACAUCUCAGUCAUCACAAUAAAGAAAGCCACAAUUUCCUUUUUAAGAAUUCCACAUUGUGUGUUUUCUAACAAGAAAAAUGCAUUUAAUAUAUUAGAUUCAUUUUUACAUCCAAAACAGAGCUUUGUUCAGUCUCAGCAACUUAACUUGUAUUCAAUAUAUGUUGUGUAAUUUUUAAUAUUAUAAGCACUAAAAAAAUUACUUAGCAUAGUUCUUAGGUGACUAUUUGUGUUUCUUUCAAACACAUGAUCAAACCACCCUUAACAAUAUUUCAAACAAUUAACUUGUACGCAUGCACUUAGGUUAGAUGUAGGCACCUUCUCAUGGAUGGAGUAUUUGACAGGUUGUCAUCCUGGAUACGGUCCCACGUUUAAGUUGCGCAUAAUGACUAACUCCUGAAUGUAUAUACCUUCUUGGAAACAUCUCUUUUCUCUUUAUAUUUAGCCAGGUCCUGUGCCUGGCUACAUCUUGAAAUUUCUCAUCUUGAAGCCUAUUAAUACUUGUUCUGUGCACAUAUACUUCGCCAUCCUGAUUGUCCUUGGUGGAGUUCAAUUGCGUGAAGCCUACACUUAGACUCAGAACAUGGAGGAAGAAAAAUCAAUCCAACCACCAACUUAUGGCAACCUUGUAACAAUUCUUUCCAUCGAUGGUGGAGGGAUUCGAGGAAUCAUUCCAGCUGUUGUUCUCGCCUUUCUUGAAUCAGAAUUGCAGAAACUUGAUGGAGAGGAAGCCCGGUUAGCAGAUUACUUCGAUGUCAUUGCUGGAACCAGCACAGGGGGUCUUGUGACCUCAAUGCUGGCUGCACCAAACAAGAAGAAUAGACCGCUUUUUGCGGCCAAGGAUAUUCAAGCAUUUUAUAUGAACCACGCUCCCAAGAUUUUCCCACAGAAGAGGGGUCUGUUUGGUAGGAUAAUGAGGAUAUUCCAAUCACUGUCAGGACCUUCUUAUGAUGGUAAAUACCUUCAUGAAGUUGUCAGAAAGAAGUUAGGAACCACCAGGCUGCGUGAGACUUUAACUGAUGUGGUAAUACCAACUUUCGACAUCAAACGACUGCAACCAGUUAUUUUCUCAUCCUAUGAGGUUAAGAAUGACAAGUGCAACACAAUGGAUGCUCUACUGUCAGAUAUUUGUAUUAGCACAUCAGCUGCUCCAACGUAUUUACCUGCACACUACUUUAAGACAGAAGACUACCACGGGAACACCAAGGAGUUCCAUCUUAUUGAUGGAGGAGUUGCUGCCAAUAAUCCGGCUUUAGUUGCCAUCGGAGAAGUAACCAAGCAGAUAUUCAAGGAAAACCCAGAUUUCUUCCCAAUAAAACCUAUGGAUUAUGGCCGGUUUUUGGUCAUUUCACUAGGCACAGGCUCAGCUAAGUUUGAAGCGAACUACAAUGCACAAACGGCUAAAUCAUGGGGUGUGCUGGGUUGGUUGCUUGGUAGCGGAUCCACUCCCUUGGUAGAUAUUUUCACACAAGCAAGUGCAGAUAUGGUGGAUAUCCAUAUCUCUGCAGUUUUCAAAGCUUUGCAUUCUGAACAAAACUAUCUGAGGAUUCAGGAUGAUACUCUACAAGGGACAUUGUCCUCAGUUGAUGUUGCAACCAUGGAAAACAUGGAGAAACUUGCCAGUAUUGGAGAUGCACUACUAAAGAAACCUGUCUCACGGGUAAACUUGGAGACUGGUCAUAUGGUGCCUGCUUAUCAUAGCACAGAGAUGACCAAUGAAGAAGCUCUAAAGAGAUUUGCGAAGCUACUAUCAGAUGAAAGGCGAAUUCGCUGGGCAAGAUCGCCAAAAUGAAGAAAGUCCUGUCCCUUGUGUCCAUAUUCCGAGAACUCCUGAUGACUUCAUUCAUUUAGAAAUUAGUUGAUAUGGUUUGUUGAUACAAAGUUCUGCUGUAACACAAUGCACUAUUGUGCAGGUGGUCAUACCGACACUACGCGUUGAUGUUAUUAGGAUCUGCCUGCUUUCUUGGCAUGUAAAAAAAAAAUCUAGCGGGCAACAAGUGAAGAAAAGAUUCCAGAUUGGCCAUGCCACUGAAACAUUUGGAGCAGAUAGAUACCCAGCAAGCACUGCUGCAUGGAACAAGUACCUGAAAGGUUGCUCCGCCUUUAGUACUUGUAUAGCUUGUGCCGUUGGCCUGGGCGGAAAGACAUCAAUUCCAUUGGACUUGGAGCAUAAACAGACUAGACAAAUGUAUGCAAGGGGUUUAUUGGAUCAAAGCUGCACAUGGCAUACUUUCUGAAUGGUUAAUGUCGCCGUAAUCAUGGUAUAGAAACGCUAUUCCAAGUUGGAUUUCAUUACCGUUGCAGUAGCCAAGGAGGACAACCUAGCUAGUUGCAAGGGUGCUGGAAGCCUCCAUUUUGAUAUGGAUACAAACCGUCCAUAGCCUUCCAAAAACAAGGUAACCAUGUGAUGCUCUCCAAAACACUCAUGAGCCCCUAGAACUAGCAGAAACGGACAUCUUGUAUCCAUCACCAACCGAACUCGGGGCACCGAAAGAUCUUGCAAUCUUAUGAAGCGUAGGUCAAUCAUGCAACUUUAGAAAUACAAAUCUGCCAUAAACACAUCUCUAGUCCUUUGUUAUUAUAGCUUCUCAGAUGAGUGGGCAGAGACAGUCGGCAUUUGGAAUCAGAGUGGUGCUCCCUUUCUUUGGAUGGCAGCAAAUUAUACUGCAAUUAAGUACAAACUCAGAGCUCCAGACAGCCGGCCAUGGCAGCAUUUGGUCACCCCUUGGUGACCCCAGGAUUGCAUCCGAUCGACCAUCGUUCUGGAAAAGCGCAUUUUGACAAGUAUUUCCAGCAAUAUAGAAUGCCGCUCGACAGGACAGGCCUGGACAUUUUUUGGGAGCAUGUUAGUGGCCUGCGCCGGUUGGGUGACCUAAACCGUUGGUUGGAUCCUGAGCUUGUGACUUUACAAACGCCGUCGCCGGCCAUGUUGUGAUCUAUGUUAAUUUCCCCUGGGAGCGCAGGUCAUAGGCUGGAAGGUUGUGAAUGAUGAAAAAGUGAGCUCCUAGGUCGAGGGAGCCGGGCCGCCGGCUAAUGUGCGCGGCCGGUCAAAAGAUGGCUGUGUGAUCGACGGAGCAGGAUCCAGGCCGGGACACAGAUGCCAUGGUCGCCUCCUCUGUUUGGUCAGCCGCGAAGAUUCCCAGAUUGUGCGAUGCUAAGAUGCAAUUGGUGCCAACCCUUUUUGUGAAAUCUUUUGAUGGCGACAUGUUAGUAACUAAUGUCUUAAUAACUCGAGCUUGCGGUGUGCGCAUGAACAGAGUAUUUGACCGUGGGAUUUUUACCAUGUGAAACUAACCUCUGAAUCCGGCGAAAAUGACACGCAAUAUGCAUGGUGUCACGGGCAAGGCGCUGAGUGGGACUUCCAUGGGUUGAGAAAUGAGAACUUGAGACCCUUGAAGACACUUGCUUUCCAUUGUUUUUCAUGCAGCUAGAUUUCUUUAAUUUCAGGCUCUGCCCCUCGUAUAUACAACCAUUUCUUUUGGUGCCACAUUGGCACGAACCAGUGCACUUUAUCUCACUAUAAAUUGUCGCAGAGAUCGCCGUCGGAAUUAGACUCAAACCCAAGCUGAGAAGCUCAAGAAGAUCACCAGUGCUAGCGCCACCGCUAGCGCCAGAGCACACAGCUACCAACCACUGCGGGCUGCGGCGCUCCCACCCACACUCGCGUGCUUAGAUGGCCGGCCUCAGGGCGUCAUGCGCUUGCAUUCUGAUCAUCCUGAUCGUGUCCAGCGGCGCCGAGGCGAGGAGGCUACUGGCGGAAACCCGCGCGGCCGAGGAAGAAGCAUGCGGCGUGGGAGGUUGCCAUCGUCUCCCGGCAGCGCAAGGCCGGGCAGGCCUCGCGGCGGCGACGACGACGACGACCAAGAUGGCGACCACCGACGGCCGGCCCACCGCGCCCGGCCACAGCCCCGGGAUCGGCAACAAGAUCGCAGGGAACACCCGUUGAACGGCGGGGUCAUUGAUGAAACACCAAAAAUCCCCAAAGUUUCUUCUUUCGUUUGCUUUGCUUGGACAGAUAAAUUGUUAAGCCCUUGUCGUGGAUGUACAUUUUCCCCUGUUCGAUCUGUAUGCUUGUAUACUUCAAGUAGUGGACGCGUGAUGGAUGCAUGUUUCCUAUUCCUUCGAA